CUACGGGAUGCUCCAGUGAGGAAUUUUCCGCAAUGGGCGAAAGCCUGACGGAGCGACGCCGUGUGUGGGAUGAAAUCCUUCGGGAUUUAAACCACUGUCAGAGGGGAAGAUAUUGACGGUACCCUCAGAGGAAGCCCCGGCUAACUACGUGCCAGCAGCCGCGGUAAUACGUAGGGGGCAAGCGUUGUCCGGAAUCAUUGGGCGUAAAGGGCGUGUAGGCUGUUUGGUAAGUCAGAUGUUAAAACUACGGGCUCAACCCGUAGCCGCAUUUGAUACUGCCUAACUAGAGAGUGGUAGAGGAAAGCGGAACUUCCGGUGUAGCGGUGAAAUGCGUAGAUAUCGGAAGGAACACCAGUGGCGAAGGCGGCUUUCUGGGCCAUUUCUGACGCUGAGACGCGAAAGCUAGGGGAGCAAACGGGAUUAGAUACCCCUGUAGUC
rnacentral:rRNA from 1 species